UUAAGCGACUAAGCGUACACGGUGGAUGCCCUGGCAGUCAGAGGCGAUGAAGGACGUGCUAAUCUGCGAUAAGCGUCGGUAAGGUGAUAUGAACCGUUAUAACCGGCGAUUUCCGAAUGGGGAAACCCAGUGUGAUUCGUCACACUAUCAUUAACUGAAUCCAUAGGUUAAUGAGGCGAACCGGGGGAACUGAAACAUCUAAGUACCCCGAGGAAAAGAAAUCAACCGAGAUUCCCCCAGUAGCGGCGAGCGAACGGGGAGCAGCCCAGAGCCUGAAUCAGUGUGUGUGUUAGUGGAAGCGUCUGGAAAGGCGCGCGAUACAGGGUGACAGCCCCGUACACAAAAAUGCACAUGCUGUGAGCUCGAUGAGUAGGGCGGGACACGUGGUAUCCUGUCUGAAUAUGGGGGGACCAUCCUCCAAGGCUAAAUACUCCUGACUGACCGAUAGUGAACCAGUACCGUGAGGGAAAGGCGAAAAGAACCCCGGCGAGGGGAGUGAAAAAGAACCUGAAACCGUGUACGUACAAGCAGUGGGAGCACAGAGCAAUCUGUGUGACUGCGUACCUUUUGUAUAAUGGGUCAGCGACUUAUAUUCUGUAGCAAGGUUAACCGAAUAGGGGAGCCGAAGGGAAACCGAGUCUUAACUGGGCGUUAAGUUGCAGGGUAUAGACCCGAAACCCGGUGAUCUAGCCAUGGGCAGGUUGAAGGUUGGGUAACACUAACUGGAGGACCGAACCGACUAAUGUUGAAAAAUUAGCGGAUGACUUGUGGCUGGGGGUGAAAGGCCAAUCAAACCGGGAGAUAGCUGGUUCUCCCCGAAAGCUAUUUAGGUAGCGCCUCGUGAAUUCAUCUCCGGGGGUAGAGCACUGUUUCGGCAAGGGGGUCAUCCCGACUUACCAACCCGAUGCAAACUGCGAAUACCGGAGAAUGUUAUCACGGGAGACACACGGCGGGUGCUAACGUCCGUCGUGAAGAGGGAAACAACCCAGACCGCCAGCUAAGGUCCCAAAGUCAUGGUUAAGUGGGAAACGAUGUGGGAAGGCCCAGACAGCCAGGAUGUUGGCUUAGAAGCAGCCAUCAUUUAAAGAAAGCGUAAUAGCUCACUGGUCGAGUCGGCCUGCGCGGAAGAUGUAACGGGGCUAAACCAUGCACCGAAGCUGCGGCAGCGACACUAUGUGUUGUUGGGUAGGGGAGCGUUCUGUAAGCCUGUGAAGGUGUACUGUGAGGUAUGCUGGAGGUAUCAGAAGUGCGAAUGCUGACAUAAGUAACGAUAAAGCGGGUGAAAAGCCCGCUCGCCGGAAGACCAAGGGUUCCUGUCCAACGUUAAUCGGGGCAGGGUGAGUCGACCCCUAAGGCGAGGCCGAAAGGCGUAGUCGAUGGGAAACAGGUUAAUAUUCCUGUACUUGGUGUUACUGCGAAGGGGGGACGGAGAAGGCUAUGUUGGCCGGGCGACGGUUGUCCCGGUUUAAGCGUGUAGGCUGGUUUUCCAGGCAAAUCCGGAAAAUCAAGGCUGAGGCGUGAUGACGAGGCACUACGGUGCUGAAGCAACAAAUGCCCUGCUUCCAGGAAAAGCCUCUAAGCAUCAGGUAACAUCAAAUCGUACCCCAAACCGACACAGGUGGUCAGGUAGAGAAUACCAAGGCGCUUGAGAGAACUCGGGUGAAGGAACUAGGCAAAAUGGUGCCGUAACUUCGGGAGAAGGCACGCUGAUAUGUAGGUGAAGUCCCUCGCGGAUGGAGCUGAAAUCAGUCGAAGAUACCAGCUGGCUGCAACUGUUUAUUAAAAACACAGCACUGUGCAAACACGAAAGUGGACGUAUACGGUGUGACGCCUGCCCGGUGCCGGAAGGUUAAUUGAUGGGGUCAGCGCAAGCGAAGCUCUUGAUCGAAGCCCCGGUAAACGGCGGCCGUAACUAUAACGGUCCUAAGGUAGCGAAAUUCCUUGUCGGGUAAGUUCCGACCUGCACGAAUGGCGUAAUGAUGGCCAGGCUGUCUCCACCCGAGACUCAGUGAAAUUGAACUCGCUGUGAAGAUGCAGUGUACCCGCGGCAAGACGGAAAGACCCCGUGAACCUUUACUAUAGCUUGACACUGAACAUUGAGCCUUGAUGUGUAGGAUAGGUGGGAGGCUUUGAAGUGUGGACGCCAGUCUGCAUGGAGCCGACCUUGAAAUACCACCCUUUAAUGUUUGAUGUUCUAACGUUGACCCGUGAUCCGGGUUGCGGACAGUGUCUGGUGGGUAGUUUGACUGGGGCGGUCUCCUCCUAAAGAGUAACGGAGGAGCACGAAGGUUGGCUAAUCCUGGUCGGACAUCAGGAGGUUAGUGCAAUGGCAUAAGCCAGCUUGACUGCGAGCGUGACGGCGCGAGCAGGUGCGAAAGCAGGUCAUAGUGAUCCGGUGGUUCUGAAUGGAAGGGCCAUCGCUCAACGGAUAAAAGGUACUCCGGGGAUAACAGGCUGAUACCGCCCAAGAGUUCAUAUCGACGGCGGUGUUUGGCACCUCGAUGUCGGCUCAUCACAUCCUGGGGCUGAAGUAGGUCCCAAGGGUAUGGCUGUUCGCCAUUUAAAGUGGUACGCGAGCUGGGUUUAGAACGUCGUGAGACAGUUCGGUCCCUAUCUGCCGUGGGCGCUGGAGAACUGAGGGGGGCUGCUCCUAGUACGAGAGGACCGGAGUGGACGCAUCACUGGUGUUCGGGUUGUCAUGCCAAUGGCACUGCCCGGUAGCUAAAUGCGGAAGAGAUAAGUGCUGAAAGCAUCUAAGCACGAAACUUGCCCCGAGAUGAGUUCUCCCUGACUCCUUGAGAGUCCUGAAGGAACGUUGAAGACGACGACGUUGAUAGGCCGGGUGUGUAAGCGCAGCGAUGCGUUGAGCUAACCGGUACUAAUGAACCGUGAGGCUUAACCU
rnacentral:rRNA from 1 species